rnacentral:tRNA from 1 species
AGGAAUUUAGGUUAAUUUAGACCAAGAGCCUUCAAAGCCCUAAGCAAGUACCGUUACUUAAUUCCUG